UACGAAGGGUGCUAGCGUUGUUCGGAAUUACUGGGCGUAAAGCGCACGUAGGCGGACAUUUAAGUCAGGGGUGAAAUCCCAGAGCUCAACUCUGGAACUGCCUUUGAUACUGGGUGUCUUGAGUAUGGAAGAGGUGAGUGGAAUUCCGAGUGUAGAGGUGAAAUUCGUAGAUAUUCGGAGGAACACCAGUGGCGAAGGCGGCUCACUGGUCCAUUACUGACGCUGAGGCGCGAAAGCGUGGGGAGCAAACAGG
rnacentral:rRNA from 1 species